AACGAACGCUGGCGGCAGGCCUAACACAUGCAAGUCGAACGCCGUAGCAGUACGGAGUGGCAGACGGGUGAGUAACGCGUGGGAACCUUCCCUAUGGUUCGGAAUAGCUCAGGGAAACCUGGGGUAAUACCGGAUAAGCCCUUCGGGGGAAAGAUUUAUCGCCAUUGGAUGGGCCCGCGUCGGAUUAGCUAGUUGGUGGGGUAACGGCCUACCAAGGCGACGAUCCGUAGCUGGUCUGAGAGGAUGAUCAGCCACACUGGGACUGAGACACGGCCCAGACUCCUACGGGAGGCAGCAGUGGGGAAUAUUGGACAAUGGGCGAAAGCCUGAUCCAGCCAUGCCGCGUGAGUGACGAAGGCCUUAGGGUUGUAAAGCUCUUUUGGCGGGGAAGAUAAUGACGGUACCCGCAGAAUAAGCUCCGGCUAACUUCGUGCCAGCAGCCGCCGUAA
rnacentral:rRNA from 1 species